ensembl:lncRNA
GAGUAUCUGUAUAGAUACUGUAUAGAGUAUCUGUACAGAGUAUCUGUAUAGAUACUAUAUAGAGUAUCUGUAUAGAGACUGUAUAGAGUAUCUGUAUAGAGACUGUAUAGAGUAUCUGUAUAGAUACUGUAUAGAGUAUCUGUACAGAGUAUCCGUAUAGAGUAUCUGUAUAGAUACUGUAUAGAGUAUCUGUAUAGAUCUACCAGCAGUUGUUUUUGAAGGCUGAGGGAGAACACUGUUAUACAAUUUGGUUAAAGUAUUUCCAAACAGGGAAAUGCAUAAUCAUGUGUGGAGUAGUGUCUUCGAUGUAGCCUAACUAUACUGGAGUAGUGUCCUCGAUGUAGCCUAACUAUGCUGGAGUAGUGUCUUCGAUGUAGCCUAACUAUACUGGAGUAGUGUCCUCGAUGUAGCCUAACUAUGCUGUAGUAGUGUCCUCGAUGUAGCCUAACUAUACUGGAGUAGUGUCCUCGAUGUAGCCUAACUAUGCUGUAGUAGAAAUACAGUAACUGUCAUACAGGUGUGUGGAAAUACAGUAACUGUCAUACAGGUGUGUGGAAAUACAGUAACUGUCAUAUAGGUGUGUGGAAAUACAGUAACUGUCAUAUAGGUGUGUGGAAAUACAGUAACUGUCAUACAGGUGUGUGGAAAUACAGUAACUGUCAUAGGUGUGUGGAAAUACAGUAACUGUCAUACAGGUGUGUGGAAAUACAGUAACUGUCAUAUAGGUGUGUGGAAAUACAGUAACUGUCAUAUAGGUGUGUGGAAAUACAGUAACUGUCAUACAGGUGUGUGAAAAUACAGUAACUGUCAUAUAGGUGUGUGGAAAUACAGUAACUGUCAUAUAGGUGUGUGGAAAUACAGUAACUGUCAUACAGGUGUGUGGAAAUACAGUAACUGUCAUAUAGGUGUGUGGAAAUACAGUAACUGUCAUACAGGUGUGUGGAAAUACAGUAACUGUCAUACAGGUGUUUGGCCUCCGGGGGGCAGACAGACAUUGUGUAGAAAAGUCAACUCUUUGAAGAAUGUGCUUCUCUAAGCAUUCAAUAUGUAGAAACAUUAUAAAGUGUUUGAUAUUACAAUCUAGCUAGG